GCAGCUUAGGUGCUUCCUUCCACACAUCGACACACUCCGGUUCUUGUUUCAUGUCCUCUUUAAGAACCACACGUUUGAUGAAGAGUGUAGAGUGAAGAACUGUGGGCCUGAUGAAUAAAUGGGCAUCAACCUUCUGAUUAUUAUUUACGUCCAUCCAUCCUCCGAGGCCGGCAGGAUGAAUGAAGCUUGUAGAAGUUCCUAAUGAACUCUGAGAGGACGAGACAGACGGAUGGAGAGAGGGAAGCUGGAGGUGAAGGAACGAAUCACUCCUUCCUGUUCAAAAGCUUUAGAUAAUAGCAGGCUGCAGAUCCAUCACAGGAAGGUGUGGGGGGGCCGACAGCAGAUUUAACAUCAUGAAGUGGUCAGCCAUGUUUGGUGGAUCAGAUAUUUUACACUUCAGUGUGACGGCAGUUAAUGUAAUCUUUAACCCACUAUGCAGUAUCAUCCGAAAAAUUCAAAUGUAUUGUAUCUUCUGGAAGUGAAAUAUCACCUGAAAAAACAGUUGCUUAAUUUAUGCGUGCGUAUGUAAAACAUUACCUGUUUUUUUCCCUCCUGCAGAUCGUGGGUCCAGCAGAUGGGUCGAACUACAUCGUGGAUUAUUACGGCGCCCGGCUGACCCGCCUGUCCAUCACCAACCAAACCUACAGGAAGCCACAUCUGUCUCUGUGAAAACAGCUUCACACACUGCCCGUCAUAAAUACAGAGAAAACUGCAUACAACGGAGGAUCCCCUUAACUUCUUCCACAUCCACAGUUCAAGAAUGAAUGUGAUAUUUAUUCAAACCUUCAGCCACCUGACUGAAGACAUUUCAAGCAGCAUUCGUCUGGCUCCGCAUGUUUUCAGAUUCAUCCAUCAAAUGUUAGAUUGAUCAGUACUAUAAGCCAUUCGUUUCUUCAAGCAUAAUUACUGUGUUUCCACCUCUUCUGUAGAGUACGGUGUUAAACUAACAAUAUCAAGUCUCUCUGGGUCACAUUUAUAUCACACCAGCUGGUCAUUUAUUUAAAUGUGUUGUACUAUAUUGUGAUGUUUCUUUGCUGUUAUGUAACAAUGUUUUUCUAUGAGAACAGACAUUGUAAAUAAAGUUUAUUUUUGCUUUCCGUCUA